rfam:Candidatus Pacebacteria bacterium RIFCSPLOWO2_01_FTLL_47_12 rifcsplowo2_01_scaffold_2346, whole genome shotgun sequence.
CGGAGUGUAGCUCAGAUGGCUAGAGUGCUGCGUUCGGGACGCAGAGGUCGCUGGUUCGAGUCCAGUCACUCCGA